rnacentral:rRNA from 1 species
GAUUCAUAAUAACUUCUCGAAUCGCAUGGCCUUGUGCUGGCGAUGCUUCAUUCAAAUAUCUGCCCUAUCAACUUUCGAUGGUAGAAUAGAGGCCUACCAUGGUUUCAACGGGUAACGGGGAAUAAGGGUUCGAUUCCGGAGAGGGAGCCUGAGAAACGGCUACCACAUCCAAGGAAGGCAGCAGGCGCGCAAAUUACCCAAUCCCGACACGGGGAGGUAGUGACAAUAAAUAACAAUAUAGGGCUCUUUUGGGUCUUAUAAUUGGAAUGAGUACAAUUUAAAUCCCUUAACGAGGAACAAUUGGAGGGCAAGUCUGGUGCCAGCAGCCGCGGUAAUUCCAGCUCCAAUAGCGUAUAUUAAAGUUGUUGCAGUUAAAAAGCUCGUAGUUGAACUUCAGCCUUGGCUGGGCGGUCUGCCUCACGGUAUGUACUGUCUGGCUGGGGCUUACCUCUUGGUGAGCCUGCAUGUCGUUUAUUCGGUGUGCAGGGGAACCAGGACUUUUAC